rnacentral:rRNA from 1 species
UACGUAGGGGGCAAGCGUUGUCCGGAAUCAUUGGGCGUAAAGCGCGCGUAGGCGGCCCGGUAAGUCCGUUGUGAAAGUCAAAGGCUCAACCUUUGAACGCCGAUGGAUACUGCCGGGCUAGGGUCCGGAAGAGGCGAGUGGAAUUCCUGGUGUAGCGGUGGAAUGCGCAGAUAUCAGGAGGAACACCAAUAGCGAAGGCAGCUCGCUGGGACGGUACUGACGCUGAGGCGCGAAAGCGUGGGGAGCGAACAGG